GUUCUUAGGUAAUAGAAACAAUUCAGUUCAUUAUGUAAGGUCCUUAUACACCACUGAUAAUAUAGUUAUGUAUAUUAUUUAGCAUUUUUGUCUUUUUUAAAAGUAACACAAUGCACCUGUCACAUAUACAGCGUUCGAUUCGCCUUGUGAAAAUGACUACAUUUCCCAUAAUGCCCCUAGUGCACUAAAGGACACUGUAGUCCCGAUAAUCAAACUGCCGGUGUAACAUGAUGGACUACGUGAGAUCUUUGUUUUGCCUUGUGGAGCUGUAUAUAAUAAAGCGAGGUAUUUUUAAUCUGAACUAACACAUAGAUUUCACUCGUUGUUCUACAACACUCGAUUUACCAGAUGGUUUGUUACUGUUUUCUGUGAUGACAUUUUUUGUUUUUAUGGUUAUGAUGAAAGCAACGCAAGCUGCAUUAAUGCAGGCCCCCUUGUAUAAACACUGUCCUGCUAUCACAGGAGGACUGGACAUGCUUUACGAGUUAAAAAACAAAAUAUCUCGGUCCUCACACCGGCACUGCCAAAACGAUUUACGCUUCGGAGUGGAAGCAUCUCUCAGGAAUGCAACUUCAAGGACUACGAUCUGUGAGGACAUGAUUUAACGCGCCCCGGAGAUAACCCCGGACGUAAACAUGUCAACGUGACGUAGGGCGUACCGGUUAAAAGUUCAACGCUACGUGGGCGGUCCGGUUAAAAGUUCAGCGCAGCGUGGGCG